rnacentral:rRNA from 1 species
AUUGAACGCUGGCGGCAGGCUUAACACAUGCAAGUCGAGCGGGGGAAGGUAGCUUGCUACCGGACCUAGCGGCGGACGGGUGAGUAAUGCUUAGGAAUCUGCCUAUUAGUGGGGGACAACAUCUCGAAAGGGAUGCUAAUACCGCAUACGUCCUACGGGAGAAAGCAGGGGAUCUUCGGACCUUGCGCUAAUAGAUGAGCCUACGUCGGAUGAGCUAGUUGGUGGGGUAAAGGCCUACCAAGGCGACGAUCUGUAUCGGGUCUGAGAGGAUGAUCCGCCACACUGGGACUGAGACACGGCCCAGACUCCUACGGGAGGCAGCAGUGGGGAAUAUUGGACAAUGGGGGGAACCCUGAUCCAGCCAUGCCGCGUGUGUGAAGAAGGCCUUAUGGUUGUAAAGCACUUUAAGCGAGGAGGAGGCUACUCUAGUUAAUACCUAGGGAUAGUGGACGUUACUCGCAGAAUAAGCACCGGCUAACUCUGUGCCAGCCGCCGCCGUAA